rnacentral:rRNA from 1 species
ACGGGUGAGUAAUGCUUAUCUACUUGCCGAUUAGUGGGGACCAUGGAAGCCAUGGGGAAUACCGCAUAUUCUGGCUUCGGCCAGGAAAGGAAGUUGCAAAACUUUCGCUAAUUGAGAGGGAUAAGUCGCAUCAGCCGAUGAAAGUGGGGUAAUGGCCUACUGAGGCAAUGACGCGUAGCCGGCCUGAGAGGGUGAUCGGCCACAAGGGAACUGAGACACGGUCCCUACUCCUACGGGAGGCAGCAGUGAGGAAUUUUUGACAAUGGGGGAAACCCUGAUCAAGCAAUACUACGUGAAGGAUGAAGGUAUGCCGAGAGGCGAUUGUAAACUUCUUUACUAGAGGGUACUGACGUAAGGAUUGCCCUUUAGCAAAAAGUCACGACUAACUACGUGCCAGCAGUCGCGGUAAGACGUAGGUGGCGAACGUUAUCCGGAAUUAUUGGGCGUAAAGGGUGCGUAGAUGGUCGAAUAAGUUAGCGGUGGGAAAUCGAGGCCCAACCUCGUGGAAGCUGGUAAUACUGUUCGACUGGAGGGCAGGAGAGGUUAACGGAACUCUAUGUGUAGCGGUAAAAUGUGACGAUAUAUAGAUGAACACCAAUAACGGCGAAGGCAGUUAACUAUUCUGUUCCUGACAUUGAGGCACGAAAGCGUGGGGAGCAAAAAGGAUUAGAUACCCUUGUAGUCCACGCCCUAAACGAUGAGUGCUAGAUAUUGGAAACUUGAUUUUCAGUGUCGCUAGGUAACCCGGUAAGCACUCCGCCUGGGUAGUACGCUCGCAAGAGUGAAACUCAAAGGAAUUGACGGGGACUCGCACAAGCACUGGAGCAUGUGGUUUAAUCCGACACAACGCGUAGAACCUUACCAAGGCUUGACAUGUAAGGUAGCAAUACUAAACUAGGGAAACCUAGUUGAAUUACACAGGUGCUGCAUGGCCGUCGUCAGUUCGUGCCGUGAGGUGUAUGGUUAAGUCCUGUAACGAACGUAACCCUUAGGUUUAGUUGCCAGCAUUCAGUUGGGGACUCUAGACCGACUGCCCGAGUAAUCGGGAGGAAGGAAAGGAUGACGUCUGGUCGUC